rnacentral:lncRNA from 1 species
AUCUACUACAGUGAUCCUCUUCCAUAUUCUAUUCAGACUCACGCCUAACCUAAAACCACCACCGCCGUCCACCAACACCACCACGACGGUUGUCACCACCACCAAACCCACAGCCACCAUAUUCUUCACUACCAAAAAGAACCCAAAUGAAAAUCACAUUGGAACCCGAAAUUUCAUCUCCCCAUUCACAGCAAUCGUUGCUGCUCUCUCCCAAACCGAACCCAAAAUCACUACUCCUUUCUCGUCUAGUUGCUGCUCUCCAUCAUGCCAUUGGUCGAAAAUCACCAUAUUUGAAAAUUACAAUAUCAGAAAGUGCGACAGAAAUCUCCUGGCAAUACCUCUUGUCACUACGACGGCCUCAAAAUUCAACGUGCCUACCAAAGCUUCCUCUUCCUCAAUAACGUCGAUCCCACUCCCAAGAUCCCCCUGGCUCCCUCCUUAUCCUUAACCAACCCGAAUGUUUCUUCUACUUUAAAGUAAUCUAAGUUUUUCAUUUGUAUUGUUACUGUGGUAAAUAGGUUGAAAGGGUAGCUGUGGUGGUAGCUAGAGUUGGCGAUGCCCGUGUAAUUGGUGCCGUGGUAAAUCGAAUUUGAUUUUUGUUGUUAAUAUUGCCAAUGGAACCACCAUCGGACGGUAGUAGCUGGAAGGUUUUCUGGUGAGUGGGGUUGAAAGAAAGUG